AGGAAAGCUUCCGUAACGGUGACGUUCGGGGGCUUUUCUUUUGC
rnacentral:antisense_RNA from 1 species